UCCAAUCUUAUUGAAAAUAGGUCAGAAUAUUUGUCUUCAUGAAAUCUCAGAAGGUUUAAAAAUUGUGUCAGGCUGGGGCAAAAAAACUAGGUCACUAGACCAAAUCGAAAAAAAAAUCAAACUUGUUUACACUCUAGAGGUCACAUAUUUGCUCCAAUUUUCAUGAAACUCAGAAUGUUAAUCUUCUUGAAAACUUUGGGUAGUUUAAAUUAAACUGGGUCACUAGGACAAACAUGUGUACACUGUUAUGGUGUGUUACUCAGGUGAGCAAACUGUGGCAAUAUUUUCUAUUGUCGGUGCAGAUAUACUCUUCCUGGAAUAAAUAUACUGAUAUGGGCAAAUCUUUACCACAGAUAUGCUGUAAUUGGACCCAUUAAUAAUUGAUAACUAUUGUAUGAAAAUGAGUGACCUUUCUGCAUGUUUACACUUUCCUUACCUGUUUGCACUUGGUAUGAAGCACAGUGAUUUUCUUGCUGCCAGCAUUACCUUUGUGCACUGUCAUGAAGUUCAGUAACUUUCUUGCUUCCAGCUCUACCUGUGUACAUUGUCAUGAAGCCAAGUGACUUUCUUGCUGCCAGCUUUACUAGGUUACUUUGUCAUGAAGCUGAGUGACUUUCAUGCUACCAGCUAUACCCCAGUACACUGUCAUGAAGCCGAGUGACUUUCUUGCUACUAGCUUUACCCGAGUACAUUGUCGUGAAGCCGAGUGACUUUCUUGCUGCCUGCUCUACCCGAGUACAUUGUCAUGAAGCCUAGUGACUUUCUUGCUGCCUGCUCUACCUGAGUACAUUGUCAUGAAGCCGAGUGACUUUCUUGCUGCUAGCUCUACCUGUGUACACUGUCAUGAAGCCAAGUGACUUUCUUGCUACCAGCUUUACGUGAGUACAUUGUCAUGAAGCCGAGUGACUUUCUUGCUACUAGCUUUAUGUGAGUACAUUGUCAUGAAGCCGAGUGACUUUCUUGCUGAUAACUCUACCUGUGUACAUUGUCAUGAAGCCGAGUGACUUUCUUGCUACUAGCUUUACCUGUGUACACUGUCAUGAAGCUCAAUGACUUUCUUCCUACAAGCUCUUCCUGUGAACAUUGUCAUGAAGCCGGCUGACUUUCUUGAUUCCAGCUUUACCUGUGUACACUGUCAUAAAGCUUAGUGACUUCCUUGAUGCCAGCUUUAUCUGUGUACAAUGUCAUGAAGCCCAGUGACUUUCUUGAUUUCAUCUGUCAUGAAGCUCAGUGACUUUCUUGAUGCCAGCUUUACCUGUGUACAAUGUCAUGAAGCCGAGUGACUUUCUUGAUGCCAGCUUUACCUGUGUACAGUGUCAUGAAGCCGAGUGACUUUCUUGAUUCCAGCUCUACCUGUGUACACAUUGUCAUGAACCCCAGUGAUUUUCUUGAUUCCAGCUUUACCUGUGCACACUAUCAUGAAGCCCAGUGAACUUCUUGCUACCAGCUUUACAGGCCAGUUGAAACCAGAGACUACCGGUACAUUUUUUGGUGAUCAUUUGACGAAGCCAGUUGUAGUGCUUUUACAGUUAGGGAGAGUGAGUUUACAUUUUGCUGGAACCUUGUUACAGAUUGCAGUAUCAGCCAGAAACCACAGCCAUUCUAAAUAUAGGACGAACACAAUCAGACAACCUGGCAAGAAGAUUUUACGUUCAGGAGUGUUGACAUUCUGCCCAAGAUUCUAGUCUGGAGAUACCAUUGGCGAUCUUAGAAUUUUUUUUAAAGAUUUUAAAAGUUUAAAAAUGUGAUAUUGACUUUUAAAAGACUACAUUAAUAUUUUAUACUGUUUUCAGUAAAAUGUUUUAAACUUCUUUUUUGGGGGGAGGGGGAUAACUGUACUGGAGACAAUUUUGUAUGGCAAAAUAAAACAAAGAAAAAUAUUUUUAUGUUAAAAAUACCUUUUUUAUAUAUGAAUACUUAUGAAUUGACUUUUUCAUGUCUCUAAGAUACGCAAGAUUGCAGUGAUUGCUUGUUAGCUCAUCAGAGCACGAAGUAUUCAAGGUGAGCAAUUAUGACCGGUCAUUGUCAGUUGUGUGUCGUCCGUCAACAUUUGCUUUGUUAACACUUCAGAGGCCAUAUUUGUGACCCAAUCUUUAUGAAACUUGGUCACAAUUUUUUUCUUGAUUAUUUCUAGGUCAAGUUUGAAACAGGGUCAUGAGGGGACUUAAACCAGGGCAGCAGGCAGAUCAAAGGAAAAGCUUGUGAAUAAUUUAGAAGCAGAACGUUUGUCUUGAUGAUUUCUAGGUCAAGUUUGAAUCUGGGUCAUUUGUGGUUAAAAACUAGGUCACCUGUUCAAACUGAAGGAACACCUUGUGAACACUUUAGGGAUUACAGUUGUAACUCAAUCUUUAUGAAGCUUGGUCAGAAUGUUUGUCUUGAUGAUUACUAGGUCAAGUUUGGAACUGGAAUAUGUUAGAUCAAAACUAGGUCACCAGGCCAGAUCAAAGGAAAAUCUUGUGAACACUCUAGAGACUGCAAUUGAAACUCAUGAGAAUUGGUCAGAAUGUAAGUCAGAAUGAGUAUUAGUCAGAAUGUAGGUCACUCAGUCAAAUCAAAGGAAAUGUUGUGCUACAGUUGUGGCCAAUUCUUUAUGAAAUUUAGUAAGAAUGUUUGUCUUGAUGAUAUCUAGGUCAGGAUUGUAACUGAGUUAUAUGGGCCAUAAACUAGGUCACUAGGCCAGAUCAAAGGAAAAAAGGAAAAUCUUGAGAACUCUCUAGAGAUCACAAUUUAAAUUUGAAACUCAUGAGAAAGCUUGUGAAUAUCAAUAGGCCACAGUUGUGAAUAUAACUUGUCCAAUAAACUUGGACACAAUGUUUGUCUUGAUGAUCUCUAGGUCAAGUACGAAUCUGGGUCACAUGGUUUCAAAAACUAAGUAAGGAAGAAUGGACUAUUUACUUGUUUCCCAGAUAAAUCUGCUUAUGUCUAGGUAAGAGGCCAAUUGUUCAUAUUUCAAGGGUCUUAAUAAAGGAUUUUGUAGCUUAUUUUGUAGAACCUCUUUUGUUCAGUUCCCUUCCAGUCAAAUAAACAGUAUUAUAAUGAUGUAUAAUAUUUAUGCCCCCCUUUGAAGAAGGAGGGGUAUAUUGUUUUGCAGAUGUAUGUCGGUCGGUCGGUCGGUCGGAAUGUAGACCAAUCUGUUUCCGGAUGAUAACUCAAGAACGGUUGGGCCUAGGAUCAUGAAAGUUGAUAGGGAGGUUGGUCAUCACCAGCAGAUGACCCCUAUUGAUUUUGAGGUCUGUAUGUCAAAGGUCAAGGUCACAGUGACCCUGAAUAGUAAAACGGUUUCCGGAUGAUAACUCAAGAACACUUGGGCCUAGGAUCAUGAAAGUUGAUGGGGAGGUUGGUCAUGACCAGCAGAUGACCCCUAUUGAUUUAGAGGUCAGUAUGUUAAAGGUCAAGGUCACAGUGACCCUGAACAGUGAAACGGUUUCCGGAAGAUAAGUCAAGAACGCUUAGGCCUAGGGUCACGAAAAUUGAUGGGGAGGUUGGUCAUGACCAGCAGAUGACCCCUAUUGAUUUUGAGAUCAGUAUGUAAAAGGUCAAGGUCACAGUGACCCUGAACAGUGAAACGGUUUCCGAAUGAUAAGUCAAGAACGCUUAGGCCUAGGGUCACGAAAAUUGAUGGGGAGGUUGGUCAUGACCAGCAGAUGACCCCUAUUGAUUUUGAGGUCAGUAUGUCAAAGGUCAAGGUCACAGUGACCAGGAACAGUAAAAUGGUUUCCGGGCAAUAAAUCAAGAACGCUUGGGCCUAGUAUCAGGAAAAUUGAUAGUUAGGUUGGCCAUGACCAGCAGAUGACCCCUAUUGAUUUUGAGGUCAUUAGGUCAAAGGUCAAUGUCACAUUGGCCAGGAACAGUUAAACGGUUUCUGAUCUUCUUGUCCAAAACCAUAGGGCCUAGGGCUUUGAUAUUUGGUAUGUAGCAAAAUCUAGUGGUCCACUACCAAGAUUGUUCAGAUUAUUUCCCUGGGGUCAAAUAUGGCCCCACCCCGGGGGUCACAUGGUUUAUGUAGACUUAUAUAGGAAAUUUUUUGAAAAACCUCUUGUACAUAACCACAGGGCCUAGGGCUUUGAUAUUUUGUAUAUGACAUCAUCUAGUAGUCCUCUACUAAGAUUGUUCAAAUUAUUCCCCUAGGGUCAAAUAUGGCUCUGCCCUGGGGGUCACAUGGUUUACAUAGACUUAUAUAGGGAAAAACUUUGAAAAUCUUCUUGUCCAAACCACAAAGACUAUGGCUUAUAUAUUUUGUAAUGUAGCAUCAUCUAGUGGUUCUCAACCAAGUUUGUUCAAAUUAUCCCUCUAGGGUCAAAUAUGGCCCCGUCCCUGGGGUCACAUGGUUCAUAUAGACUUAUAUAGGGAAAAACUUAGAAUCUUCAUGUCCAUAACUUACAUCAUUCAAAUUUGGACCACAUGUAUAGUUUUGAGUGGCAAGAUGAACCUUGACAUGAGUUGACCUUGAUCUUGACCUAGUGACCUACUUUCACAUUUCUGUAGCUACAGCCUUCAAAUUUGGACCACAUGCAUAGGUUUGUGUGCUGAAACAAACUUUGACCUUGUUAUUGACCUAGUGACCUACUUUCACAUUUUUUAAGGUACAGGCUUCAAAUUUGGAUCACAUGCAUAGGUUUUUGUUCCAAAAUAAAAUUUGACCUUGAUUUUGACCUAGUGACCUACUUUCACAUUUCUCAAGCUACAGCCUUCAAAUUUGAACCACAAGCAUAGUUUUGUGUACAGAAAUGAACUUUGAUCUUGAGAUUGACCUAGUGACCUACUUUCACAUUUCUGAAGGUACAGGCUUCAAAUUUGGACCACUUGCAUAGUUCUGUGUUCCGAAAUAAAAUUUGACCUUGUUUUUUGACCUAGUGACCUACUUUCACAUUUCUCGAGCUGUAGCCUCCAAAUUUGAAGCACAUGCAUAGUUCUGUGUUCCGAAAUAAAAUUUGACCUUGAUUUUGACCUAGUGACCUACUUUCACAUUUCUCGAGCUGUAACCUCCAAAUUUGAAGCACAUGCAUAGUUCUGUCUACCAAAAUGAACUUUGACCUUGAAAUUGAUCUAGUGACCUACUUUCACGUUUCUCAAGCCACAGCUUUCAAAUUUGGACCACAUACACAUUGUUUUUUACCGAAAUGAUAUUUGACCUUGAUUUUGACCUUGAGCUAGUCUUGAAAUUUGGAACAUUCAAAAACGGCUCAGUGGAUGGCGCCAAGAUCACUCUGUAAUCUCUUGUUAGGUUAAGGUCAAAUU